rnacentral:rRNA from 2 species
AUUGAACGCUGGCGGCAGGCCUAACACAUGCAAGUCGAGCGAGCGGCGGACGGGUGAGUAAUGCAUAGGAAUCUGCCCGAUAGUGGGGGAUAACCUGGGGAAACCCAGGCUAAUACCGCAUACGGAAAGCCGCUAUCGGAUGAGCCUAUGUCGGAUUAGCUAGUUGGUGAGGUAAAGGCUCACCAAGGCGACGAUCCGUAGCUGGUCUGAGAGGAUGAUCAGCCACAUCGGGACUGAGACACGGCCCGAACUCCUACGGGAGGCAGCAGUGGGGAAUAUUGGACAAUGGGGGGAACCCUGAUCCAGCCAUGCCGCGUGUGUGAAGAAGGCCCUCGGGUUGUAAAGCACUUUCAGUGAGGAAGAAGACAUCACUCACAGAAGAAGCACCGGCUAACUCCGUGCCAGCAGCCGCGGUAAUACGGAGGGUGCGAGCGUUAAUCGGAAUUACUGGGCGUAAAGCGCGCGUAGGUGGCUUGAUAAGCCGGUUGUGAAAGCCCCGGGCUCAACCUGGGAACGGCAUCCGGAACUGUCAAGCUAGAGUGCAGGAGAGGAAGGUAGAAUUCCCGGUGUAGCGGUGAAAUGCGUAGAGAUCGGGAGGAAUACCAGUGGCGAAGGCGGCCUUCUGGACUGACUGACACUGAGGUGCGAAAGCGUGGGUAGCAAACAGGAUUAGAUACCCUGGUAGUCCACGCCGUAAACGAUGUCGACCAGCCGUUGGGUACUUUGUGGCGAAGUUAACGCGAUAAGUCGACCGCCUGGGGAGUACGGCCGCAAGGUUAAAACUCAAAUGAAUUGACGGGGGCCCGCACAAGCGGUGGAGCAUGUGGUUUAAUUCGAUGCAACGCGAAGAACCUUACCUACUCUUGACAUCGACAGGUGCUGCAUGGCUGUCGUCAGCUCGUGUUGUGAAAUGUUGGGUUAAGUCCCGUAACGAGCGCAACCCUUGUCCUUAUUUGCCAGCGCGCGGGAACUCUAAGGAGACUGCCGGUGACAAACCGGAGGAAGGUGGGGACGACGUCAAGUCAUCAUGGCCCUUACGAGUAGGGCUACACACGUGCUACAAUGGUCGGCAAAGGGUUGCCAACUCGCGAGAGUGAGCCAAUCCCGACCGAUCUCAGUCCGGACGGAGUCUGCAACUCGACUCCGGAAGUCGGAAUCGCUAGUAAUCGUGGAUCAGAAUGCCACGGUGAAUACGUUCCCGGGCCUUGUACACACCGCCCGUCACACCAUGGGAGUGGACUGCACCAGAAGUGGUUGCCUAGGGCGAUCACCACGGUGUGGUUCAUGACUGGGGUG